ensembl:lncRNA
UUUUUUUUUUUUUUUUUUUGAGACGGAGUUUUGCUCAAAACAGAGUUUUUGAGUCCAAGGAUGUGAACUUGGACUGGGAGGUGUGCAGGAGGGGUGCUGAGUACUAGGUCUGCAUGUCUUGUUCUGGUGGAUGUCUCAAGCCAUGGUCCACCUGGAGUGUGGGCUAGCUGCAUUUCAAUAAUGGCCCGGUGGUUGACUAACUGCCUUGAAGUAAUCUCUGAAAUUUCACAGAUAGGUCCAUAUGCCUACCAAGUCUGUCUCAAGAUUAUCCCCAGGAACUUCUGAGUAAGCACAUAAUUAGAUACUAGCAUACAAUUGGACAAAUGUGCAUGGUCUAAGGGAGUGUAUGGUGAGAAGUGGUGGACAUGGUGUUUCAAAGAAAGUACAUUUCAAGGCUGUAUUUUAAGAUUAACAAGAAGAAAAGAUUCUGUGGUAAGGUUCAAGGUUAUAUCGCAAGACUAGGGAAAAAUUAGAAAAAGGAAAAAAACUUUUAAAGUGCAUUUUCAGGCUAGACUGUUCAGUUACAAAACUAGUUUUAGAGUUGCAGUGUGUCCUUUCAGUAGCCAUGAAAUAAAACUUGUUUCAGGUUACAGCAGGGAGUUUCAGCAGCCAGGCUUCCAGAGAAUUACAUUCUUGGAUCAGUGUUAUAUGCCCUGAAUGCUUUUCUUCCCACAGCUGUUUCAACUCUGUUUUAGGUGGGUAUGACAAGAAGGACCCAAUUCACAUGAUCAACUUUCGCACAAUUAAUAGGGAUCCCUUCUAAAUCUGCUAAAUCUGCAGGAUUUUUGAGCUGCAACUGGGGGAAAAAACGCACCAAAUCUCAAAUCAACACGUUUGUUUUCCUAAUACAAAAUAAAAUGUUGUUUUCUAUUAUAUAUGUACUAUCAUAAAGUAGGAUGUGAAAAAUCUUUGUCAGAGACAUGGAGGACAUUUCCAUGUGUAUUAAAAAGCAAAGAAGCCAUUCUGAAAAGGCUACACAGUGUGAUUCCAGCUCUAUGACUUUUUUUUUUUUUUUUUUUUUUUGAGACAAGGUCUCACUCUGUCACCCAGGCUGGAGUGCAGUGGUGCAGUCACGGCUCAGUACAACCUCAACCACCUGAGCUCAAGCAAUCCUUCCAUCUCAGCCUCCAGAGUAGCUGGGACUACAGGUGCACACUAUACCUGGCUAAGUUUUGUAUUUUUUUCUAGAGAUGGGGGUCUUGCUAUGUUGCCCAGGCUGGUCUCGAACUCCUGAGUUCAAGUGAUCUGCCUGCUUCAGACUCCCAAAGUGCUGGGAUUACAGGUGUGACCCACUGCACCUCGCCAUUUCCCUUAUUUAUAUUUAUAGCUCACACUUCCCCAGAUGGGAUCCAUUUGCUGUGUCAGCCUGUCCAGCUGGUUGUGUAAUCGGCCUUUCAGACUAGACUUGUCCAAAGGUUAUCCCAAACCCCUGCUCCCGGAUCUGCAGCCCCAGAGUCACCCCCUCAGCAGUGGCAGCUCAGACCUUCUGGUUCCUCAGUAGACAACCCAAUAAUCAUGCUUCACUCCUUUCCUGCCCACGUGGAGCCUGUGAGCAAGUUGUCUUCUGCUUUCCAGGGACAAGAAUCUAAUAUUUUUCCGCACUGCAUGUGUUAACAACAUUGAUCCAGCUAGAGUCUUUUUUGACUCACGGAGGCCUCAUGUGCAAUCUUUCAGCAAAGCUUGUCCUAGACUCAAAAUUCAACCAGAAUGGAAUUGGUUGUCAUCAAUACAUACGUGAU